GAUAUCUACAAAAGUCUUCCUGAUUUAAUAGAUGAAACUGGUGUUGAUGAAGAUGAAGAGUUGUAUGAUUGUGUCUAUGGAGAAGAUGAAGGUGGGGAGGUUUAUGAAGACCUAAUGAAAGAUGAAGCAGCACAGCAACCUAAAUAUACUGAAAAUGACAUAAGAAGCUGUUGUCUUGCUGAAAUAAAGCAAACUGAAGAGAAAUACACUGAAACUCUGGAAUCGAUAGAGAAAUUUUUCAUGGUGCCAUUGAAAAGGUUUCUGUCAGCAUCAGAGUUCGAUACAGUUUUCAUCAACAUUCCUG